GAUGAACGCUGGCGGCGUGCCUAAUACAUGCCAGUCGAACGAAACUUCUUUAUCACCGAGUGCUUGCACUCACCGAUAAAGAGUUGAGUGGCGAACGGGUGAGUAACACGUGGGCAACCUGCCCAAAAGAGGGGGAUAACACUUGGAAACAGGUGCUAAUACCGCAUAACCAUAGUUACCGCAUGGUAACUAUGUAAAAGGUGGCUAUACUACCGCUUUUGGAUGGGCCCGCGGCGCAUUAGCUAGUUGGUAGGGUAAAGGCUUACCAAGGCAAUGAUGCGUAGCCGAAUUGAGAGGUUGAUCGGCCACAUUGGGACUGAGACACGGCCCAAACUCCUACGGGAGGCAGCAGUAGGGAAUCUUCCACAAUGGGCGAAAGCCUGAUGGAGCAACGCCGCGUGAGUGAAGAAGGUCUUCGGAUCGUAAAACCCUGUUGUUAGAGAAGAAAGUGCGUGAGAGUAACUGUUCACGUUUCGACGGUAUCUAACCAGAAAGCCACGGCUAACUACGUG
rnacentral:rRNA from 1 species